CGGCAAACCGGGAAGGUAGCGCUCGGGCAAAGGACGCUCGGCUCUUCAGCUGCACAGAGCCGAGGCUCAGAGCAGCCGCUGCCGGGCGGGGGGAAUCCGACUGCGGCUCGCAGCCUGCCGGAGCCGGCUGGAAGGUUAUGGUGAAUUGAAUCAAGACUUCGUACCAUGCACUGGAGUAGGUAGAGCUUUUAUAUUUUAAUAUUUAUUGUUGUGUCAUCUCUCAUAAUUCCUCUUAUACCAUAGUUUCUCAGCUUUUGAACUACAUUAAUAUAUUGAAUGAUAGUAACUGGUAUCAAAGGCCCUCUUUCACUUCUGAAAACUGAGUGGAGAAGUUUGUUUACUGUUUACCUAGCUAAAU
rnacentral:lncRNA from 1 species